rnacentral:rRNA from 1 species
CCAAUAGCGUAUAUUAAAGUUGUUGCGGUUAAAAAGCUCGUAGUUGAAUUUCGGAAUUGAUGCAUCGGUCGUGCCUUAAGGGGCAUGAACUGGUGUAGCCAAUUUCUCAUCUUCUGGUGAAUUGUGAUGUUCUUAAUUGGGUAUCUCAAUGAACUGGAAUUUUUUACUUUGAAAAAAUUAGUGUUUAAAGCAGGCAGUGAUUUGCUUGAAUACAUUAGCA